GGAUUCGUAGCUCAAUGGUAGAGCAGCCGCCUUUUAAGCGGCAGUGUGGAGGUUCGAGCCCUCCCGGAUCCACCG
rnacentral:tRNA from 1 species